UCCCUUUAGGGGCAGUCUCGCUAGACAUCGUAACUAGCGACGAGGGUUGCGCUCGUUGCGGGACUUAACCCAACACCUCACGGCACGAGCUGACGACAACCAUGCAGCACCUGUGCAAGCUCCCUUGCGGGUCCCUUGCCUUUCGGUUCAGUACCACUUGCAUGUCAAGCCCAGGUAAGGUUCUUCGUUUUGCAUCGAAUUAAACCACACGCUCCGCUGCUUGUGCGGGCCCCCGUCAAUUCCUUUGAGUUUUAGCCUUGCGGCCGUAGUCCCCAGGCGGGAUGCUUAACGCGUUAGCUUCGGCUCGCAGGGGGUCGAUACCCCGCAAACCCAGCAUCCAACGUUUAGGGUGUGGACUAC
rnacentral:misc_RNA from 1 species